rnacentral:rRNA from 1 species
GAUGAACGCUGGCGGCGUGCCUAAUACAUGCAAGUCGAGCGAACAGAUGAGGAGCUUGCUCCUCUGACGUUAGCGGCGGACGGGUGAGUAACACGUGGAUAACCUACCUAUAAGACUGGGAUAACUUCGGGAAACCGGAGCUAAUACCGGAUAAUAUAUUGAACCGCAUGGUUCAAUAGUGAAAGACGGUUUUGCUGUCACUUAUAGAUGGAUCCGCGCCGCAUUAGCUAGUUGGUAAGGUAACGGCUUACCAAGGCAACGAUGCGUAGCCGACCUGAGAGGGUGAUCGGCCACACUGGAACUGAGACACGGUCCAGACUCCUACGGGAGGCAGCAGUAGGGAAUCUUCCGCAAUGGGCGAAAGCCUGACGGAGCAACGCCGCGUGAGUGAUGAAGGUCUUCGGAUCGUAAAACUAUGUUAUUAGGGAAGAACAAAUGUGUAAGUAACUAUGCACGUCUUGACGGUACCUAAUCAGAAAGCCACGGCUAACUACGUG